CUUCAACACUUUGCUUCCUUUGGAUCCACACCGGCAGUUGUGGAUAAGGUUAGCAUCAGAAGUCUGUACAGAUCCUUCAAACACUUUCACACUAAACUGAGAGCGCUUUGUUGAGUAACUUUCUGCUCUGAGUAAAGAUUCAAAGGCCAAACGAUACACCAUCAUUUGAAUCGCAACCCGGAAGCUUUAUGGAGGAGAUCAGACCUACCCCUUGUUAAGAAGAGAAGGGUCAAAGAAAGAAGACCUGCUCCAGGAUUAGCACCUUCAAGCUGGACUGGAUUUUGCAGCUGCCCACACGGACAAGCAAAAAGUUUCCUGGAGAAUAGCUUUAUAUUCAGAUGAGAAAGACUCAGUUUGGCUACAGUACCAAUAAAUGUGUUUGGACAAGUCAGAGCGAGGCUUUAAAGGGAGAGAGACCCCGACGCUGGUUUUGGAAUUGAUAAAGCUGGCUAACACUAAACUUCUGGAAUAGCCUUCCUAAAGCUUCUGGAUGAUACGAGCCAGGCCCAUCCCUGGAAACCAACCAAUAUUUAUGGAUCUACAAAUUUUGCCAAUAAAAGAGGCGUCCCUCAGGGUUCGAUGUUUGGUCCCCUACUCUUCAUCCUCUACAUGCUCCCCCUUUGUUACAUCAUCUGCCGACAUGGUCUCUAUUUCCACUGCUAUGCCGAUGAUGUAGAGCUCUAUAUCUCCACCAGACAUACAAAACUGAGCAGCUUGCCUGUCACCCACACAUCACCCCAGUUCUCCUGAAGAUCCAUUCGCUCCCUGUUCCCUAAUGCAUUCAUUUCAAAAUGCUCCUUCUUACCCACGAAGCCCUCCAUAACCAGGUCUCUUGCUACCUCACCAACCUGCUCCAUCGUCACACUUCUUCACACAGCCUCUGUUCCUCUAAUGCCAACAUCUUGUCUCCACCACUCAGUACCAAGCACCAAACCUGGGGUGAUAGAGCAUUCUCCAUAGCUGCUCCCACCAUCUGGAACUCCCUCUCUGGAACUCUCUUUUAAUGUGUGAUUUUUGUCCUAUUUUAUGCUUAUCCUGUGUUUUGCUUUUGUUUUUGUUUGAUACCU